rnacentral:snRNA from 1 species
GUGCUCACUUUACCAGCACAUGCCUCGAAGUUGGAGUUUACAGAGAUAACUAUGGCCUCUGUACAAGGAUGAUAUGCAAGUCAGUGAGCUGUCACACUUUCAG